AUUGACAAGGAACUUUUCCUCUGGGCUCAGUUCCUACGUGUGGACAAACGCAUCCAGUUCCACAACCGGUCACACCUACCCGGACUAACCGGAAAAACAACACAUCCUAACUGGAACCCACAAGGAGUUGCUCUUCUUCAAGUAACGGGCUUGGAGAAGCUACGGCGGCAUAUAAACCGUUCCUCGGGUCCCGAUCUGCUGUGGAAAGCCUACCCCAGAACUGCGCUCCCUGCCGCCGGGGCGCCUUCGAGGAUGCACCCCUCCGGGCUCCGCAGUCGCCACCCCGGACGUCAGCCUCCGCACCCUGAGGCCGGCUGAGAGGGAAGACGGGCAGAGCGGAGGGAGGCAGGCGCGCGCGCCAGCGAAAUGGUCAAUUCCUCCUUAACUCCGGGCCCCCUCGCGGGCCUCACCCCUCCUCUCGGGGACUGAGAUUGGAGAGGAAGUGGGAAGGCUGCGAUCUGCUCCUCACUCCGGCGCCCUCAUGCCCCCACCCUUCUCCUCAGCUCGGGGCUGCGGCGCCCCUCGUCCUCGCCCCUCGCCCCGGGAGAGGGCUGGGCGGCGCGGGAGGCCUCGCGGAGACAGGCCGGGGGCAGCCGUGGGCCUCCGCCCGGCAGCCACGUCCACGACAGCAGAGGCCCGCAGUCGGCCGCCCGCAGGCGAGCCAGGCCCGAGGGCAGCCCCGGAGACCGCGGCGGCCGGAUGCACGGGCGCGUCACUUCCGGGCGGUGCAGCGGCGGCCGCUUGGAAGAUGGCUGCGCCCUGUGGCUCGGAGCUGCCCGCCAACUCGCCGCUAAAAAUCCCGAAGAUGGAGGUGCUCUCCCCGGCUUCUCCUGGUGGCCUGAGCGACGGAAACCCAUCGCUGUCCGACCCUUCCACGCCUCGGGGUGCCUCCCCGCUCGGGCCGGGCAGUGCGGCGGGCUCGGGGGCAGCGGCGUCCGGGGGUCUCGGGCUGGGGCUGGGGGGCCGCAGCGCCGCCUCGUCCUCGGUCUCCUUCUCCCCUGGUGGCGGCGGUGGCGGGGCCGCGGCAGCCGCCGCCGCCGCCUGCCGGGGCAUGUCGUGGACGCCGGCCGAGACGAACGCGCUCAUCGCAGUGUGGGGCAACGAGCGGCUGGUGGAGGCGCGGUACCAGCAGCUGGAGGGAGCCGGCACGGUGUUCGGCAGCAAGGCCCCGGGGCCAGCCAUGUACGAGCGCGUGUCCCGGGCCCUGGCCGAGCUGGGCUACGAACGGACCCCGUCCCAGUGCCGGGAGCGCAUCAAGGUUCACUCUCCAGAUUCCCACAACAUCCAAGACUGGGCCAGGCUGAAGUGGGCGACAGGGACCCAAGUACUUGAGCUGUCGUCUGCUGCCUCCCAGAUGCUCAUUAGCAGGAAGCUGGAUGGGAAGUGAAGCAGUUGGGACUCAGACCACACACUGUGAUAAGGAUGUGGGUGUCCCAAGCUAUGGCUUACCACAGUGCACACCCAAGACCAUAUACUUAUAUGUUGGUUUUCUGUUUUGGAAGUAGGAGCUCUAACAAGCAAAUCUUAAAGCUGGAUGAAUAGGAUUCUGAGUUUAUUUCCUGGCAAUUUGGGAAAUCUAGCAAAGAGUAGAGAUACAUAUUCUGGAAGCUUCAUUAAUAGGAUGUAUAAAAGGAAGAAAGAAUUUAGAAAAGCAUGUAGUGCAAAUAACACUCUUCAGUAAAACUUUUUGUGACAAUGGAAAUGUUCUGUAUCUGCUGCCAUUCAAUAGAAUAGCCACUACUAAGUGCAUAGGACUCUUCAGCCCUUGAAUUGUAGCUAAUGUGCCUGAGGAAUUGAGUUAUCCAUUUUUUAAAUUCCAAGCAAUUUAAAUUUAAAUUAUAAAUGGUCAUUUGUGGCUAGUGGCUACCACAUUGAACUAUGUAGGGUAAAAAGUUGUUUACAAAAUUGAAGUAGUCUUUGAAAGAAUACUUGUGAUCGUAUACUCAAACCCAAAGGGGGAGCUCAAAGCUUCUUCCUCUUGUUCUUUCUUCUUCUUCUUCUUCUUCUUUUUUUUAUUUGACAGAGAGCGAGAGACCGAGAGAAAGGUCUUCCUUCUGUUGGUUCACUCCCCAAAUGGCCGCUAUGGCUGGCGCUGCGCUGGCCCAAAGCCAGGAGCCAGGUGCUUCCUCCUGGUCUCCCAUGCGAGUGCAGGAGCCCAAGCACUUGGGCCAUCCUCCACUGCCCUCCCAGGCCACAGCAGAGAGCCGGACUGGAAGAGGAGCGACUAGGACUAGAACCUGGCGCCCAUAUGGGAUGCCAGCAACGCAGGUGGAGGAUUAGCCAAGUGAGCCACAGUGCUGGCCCCCUUCCUCUUGUUCUUACCAUGUUACCCUCUUUGGAGCAAUCAAGGUAAAAGUGAAGGAAAAUGUUUUACCAUUCUAUGAGGUGCAGCGUUUAGUGCAAGGAAUGAACACACACUUUAUAACUGCAGUUGGCUGGGGGCAAAUAGUGCCGAUUCUCGGUUCUCUAGGACAGUGACGUCCAAUAGAACUUUCUGUGAUUUGAGAAGUGUACUGUCCAAUAUGGUAGCCACUAGUCACAGAUGAUUAUUGAGCAUUUGGAAUGUGGCUAGAGUGACUGCAAAACUGAAAAUUUCAUUGAAAAUUACUUAUUUAUUAGAAAGGCAGAGAGACAGGAAGAGACAAAGAGAUUUUCCAUUUUCUGGUUCACUCUCCAAAUGCCAGAAACAGCUGGGGUUGGGCCAGGGUAAAUCCUGUAGCUGGGAACCCAGUCAAGCUCUUCUGUGUGAGUGGCAGGGACCCAAGUACUUGCGACAUUACCUGCUGCCUCCUGGAGUGUGCAUCAGCAGAAGCUGGACUCAAACCCAGGCACUCAGUCUAGCCCAGAGUCUCUCGCAUGACAGUGCAUGCAUGUGAAAGCACCUAAUGCAGUGCCUGUACCUGGUAGGUCCAUGCAUCCUCCUCUCCUCUUCAUGUACUUUUUCAGUACCCCAUCCCUUUGGCACCUCUGACCUCUCCCCCUCCCUGGCCGCAGUCUCAAGUGUUUCCAGGUCCUUCACCUAACACUGCUACAGAGAAAAUCUAGUAGGUUGGGACAGUCGGUCCCACUGGUGUUGAUCUUCGGGCUUAUUCCUUGGGGACUGGCAACUCAGGGUCAUGGUGUUCCCCAUGUGCGGCGUACUGAGGAAGUGGCAGGAUGGGACAGACCAAAUAAAACUCACACAUGUGGGAUCUACAUAUCCUGGCCCUUCCUACAUACCCUUCUGUCACCCAUUCACCUUCCCCCACCCUUAUACUCAGCCUUUGGGAAGAGGCGUGCCUGAACCCCUGUGGGGUAGAGUCAGGUGGGAAAGUAUGUACUUCUUACCCACCCAAUACAUUGAGUUCUAAAGUUUUGCUGUUUGUGCCUUGACUGUCUUGUACAUUCUUGGAACAAUGGUAGGAACCAGAGCCCUCCUGGAGGCCCUGUCCCCUCAGUGACACUCUGGAAGGUCAUGGAAUAGACUAGGGACGCUCCAGGGUAGCCUUACAGGACCCCAUUGGUGAAGGCCAAGACCUGGUGGGUGCAUGACACUUCCCCUUAUGAUUACACAAUGCACAGUGCCCCAGGAACAGGCAGUUUCCUUCCCCCAAACUGAGCCUUCACUGCCUCUAACCUGCACCUGUCCUAAGCUGUGCCAGCUCCCAUUCACCCCUGUAUCCUCAUCUGCGCUCUUGCUGCCCCUGGGUCCUUUUCACCAGAACGGUUCUUGUUGUCUUUGCACUGUCUCUUCAUCUCCCACUUGAGGUGUUUGGAAAGGUAGUCACAGCCACUUUUGAUUUCUCAACCCAUAAAGUACAGUUAGAUAAAAGAGGUCUAGAGCUUACUGAGGAGAGAGAAAAAUUUUUACAUCAUUGUGCUCUUUGAGACUUGAAAUCAAAACUCCAGAAACAUCAUUAGUUUCCAACAGCUGGUGUCCCAGAUAUUCUGGGUAAAUGCUUUCCACCACGUAGUUCUGGAUGGCUGUAACCUAAGGCUUAAACAUGAAAGGAGGUGGAUAAGUACUAAGAAAUGAGACUGGGAGUCAGUGUUAGGCACAACGGGUUAAGCUGCUACGAUGCUGAUAGCCCGUAUAGGUGCCAGUUCAAGUCCCAGCUGCUCCAUUUCUGAUCCAGCUUCCUGCUAAUGUGCCUGGGGAGGCAGCAGAAGAUGGCUCAAGUCUUGGGUACUGACAUCCACAUGGAAGACCCAGAUGAAACUCCUUUCUUCUGGCCUUGACCUGGUCCUGCCCAGGCUAUUGCCAGCCACUUGAGGAGUAAACCAGUGGAUGGAAGAUCAGUCUAUCCACCCCUCCUUCCCUCUGUAACUCUGCCUUUCAAAUAAAUAAAUCUUAAAGAAAAAAAAAGCAAUCAAAGUGGAGACAUGAACAAGUGGUCAUUUGAUGGGGUAUGGUCAGGCGAUGUGAUUGGACUUUAUCUUAUUGUUGUGGGAUGAUGUGACGAUCUCUGUUCUUGUCUCAUGCUAAAGAAGAAUUUCUGUGCAGACAGGGACAGUAAACAAAACUGGAUUUAUUGAAAAUGAGAACCUCCUGCCACAGCUUGCCACAGCAUUCAGGAGGAGUACUCCAAGGGAGGAAUUGCCAAAGAAACUUGAAAGUGCUGGCUUUUUUAUACUGAAAGGGAGCCAUUGUCAGUGAUUGGCUCCUUCCUGAAAAGGCAAAUCCAAAUUUAAUCAACCCAGAGGAGUAAAGUGACAACCAAUCAGAAGGCUAGGACAAUCAGCUGAUCAAAGGGCACUGAAAGUAUGUGCUAAUGAGACAUGUUAAGUGAACUGAUCAGGGAAUUGAAAAUAUAUGGUAAGGAGGCAUGCCACAUGCACCGAUCAGGCAACUGACAUCGGAGUAGCCUGUUUUUCACAGCAAUGUUCAUAGUUCUCAGGUUUGUCCAGGCAGCUCAACAACAUCUGACGAUUACAUUAUGUAUGUUUCCCCCAUGUCCAGUCUCCUCUUCCCUCAGGGCUCCCAGAGAGUUAUAUCAUGUGUUUUUUUUCUUUCCUUCUGUGGGUGAGAGAAGGGGCUAGAAUCCUUCUCACUAUUCAAAGGGCUUUUAAAAAAAUAUUUACUUAUUUACUCGAAAGGCAGAGUUACAGAGAGUGACAUCUUCCAUCUGCUUCACUCCCCAGAUGGCUGCAAUAGUCAGGGUUGGGCCAGGCUGAGGCCAGGAGUCAGGAGCUUCUUUUGGGUCUCCAUGUGGGUGCAGGGGCCCAGGUACUUGGGCCAUCUUCCACUCUUUCCCAGGAGCAUUAGCAGGGAGCUGGAUAGGAAGUGGAGCAGCUGGGACUCGAACUGGCACCCAUAUGGGAUGCUGGCAUCGCAGGCAGUGGCUUAACCUGCUCCAUGGAAACACUGACCCCUAUUCAAAGGAUUUUAAGCCCCCAAAUAGUGACAUGGUUAGUGUUAAAUUUAGGAUGGUUACUGGUUUGUAAUGCGGAGAAUGGAAGGACUAAGACUAGAAGCACAAAGAUCCUUUAGAGACUUGCAGUAAACUAGAUGAGAAGUGGAAUAAAGCAAUUGGCAAUGAAGAUGGAAGAGUACAGAUUUCAGGCAUAUCAAAAUCGGUAUGAAUGGAGAAUCUGGGCAUUACAAUAAACAGGAUUUGUUAGGUAUUAACCUGUGACACAACUCACUACUAAUUUCUCUACCAGCUUACAUGAAGAAUUCUUGCUGUAGUCAUCAAAGACCAUCACAGUACUUGAUAGCUUCCAUUUUUAGGCUUGAUUUCUAAGAACCCCAGGAAAUUCGACUAAAACCAUGUUAGGACAGUCCUGUAUAUUGCCUUUAGAAUAAACUCUUUUUUUUUUUUUUUUUGGACAGGCAGAGUGGACAGUGAGAGAGAGAGAGACAGAGAGAAAGGUCUUCCUUCUGCCGUUGGUUCACCCUCCAAUGGCCACCGCGGCUGGUGCACCGCACUGAUCCGAAGGCAGGAACCAGGUGCUUCUCCUGGUCUCCCAUGGGGUGCAGUGCCCAAGCGCUUGGGCCAUCCUCCACUGCACACCCAGGCCAUAGCAGAGAGCUGGCCUGGAAGAGGGGCAACCGGGACAGAAUCCGGCGCCCCGACCGGGACUAGAACCCGGUGUGCCGGCACCGCUAGGUGGGGAAUUAGCCUAUUGAGCCGCGGCGCCGGCCUAGAAUAAACUCUUCAGACACUUGGAUUCUGUUCUCCCCACAAGUGAUUAUCCUGCUCCCUUUUCUCCUGCCUCUUAACAUUACUCAAGAGUCAGAACUAAAAUUCAGAUAUAAGAUUUCCAAUGUUAAUUUCUAUAGGGACACCCUGAAGACUGCUUCUGUUGGUAGGGUGAGGUAGGGUGCAGUUUGUCCCCCUGUGGAAAAUUGUAUCUGUGUCAUUUUUAAACAGUGGAAUAAAAGGAGGGACAUUUUUGAGAUUCCAAAACGACAGAAACAAUGCCAUAAAAAGCUUUGGAUUUUUGUUGUCAGGAUUAUAAGAUGAUUAGAUUGCUUUUUACUUUUAUUUCUGUUGUGAGUUUUAUGCACUAUGUUCUGCCUAUUAUUUACUUUUAGAGAAAGUUCUCAUUUGUAGAGAGAGCCCUUGAAAGCUCAUGCAAAUACUUUUUUUUCUUGGCACUAAGCAGACCAGUGCUGUCUGUUCACUUGGUAGGAUGUGCUGUUACCUUUAGUAAAAUGCAAACCUGUGUUUAUUCUCAGACAUUUCUGAACAGCGGCCAUCCUUUUAUUUUUACAUGCGUGUGCUUGGCUGUGUAUUCAUAAAUUACACAUUUUGAGUUACCAAAUAUUAAGUAUAAUUGAUGCAAUACAAUGGAAGCUGCUUACUUAGAUGUUUUCUAGUUGCAUUUUCUCAGUCUGUGUAAGACUACUUUCUGUAAUAGCCUAAAUUUUUGAAAGCUACAAUUCUGCUUUUGUGCUAUAUUGGCAGAUUACUUCAUUUAUCCAAAUAAGUCAAUUAUGUUUGUAACUGAUGUGAAUAAAACAAGAAGAAAAGUUCGUAUCUACCAAGAACUACUUUUAUUUUUUCAGUUGCAGGUAUUUUGCUCUAAAUGGAAAUAACUGGCUUAGAAUUUAGAAGGAAGAAUAUGACAGGUCAAAAGCACCUCAGCUUUUGGUGUCUCUGUUUCUUAUAUACAGUCUUAAACAAUUCUCAUUCAUUCAAGCAAAAUAUUUAGAGCCGUUUUUACAAGCCAGACAUCGAUUUAGGUGCUGGGAAUAUAUUAGUGAACAAAACUGACCCAAGACCUCUGCUUUCAAAGAUCUUACAUUCUGGUAAACAAAAAUGAUAUUUAAAAUAUGUAUGGCUAAUUCAGAACAAUUAACACGGGAAAAAACCUCAAAUGUGGGCCUUAUUGGCCUUAAAAAUUUGAGCUCUCUUUCAUUUUACAUAAGAAAUAAAAAGUUGUUUGCCUUUAUUGAGAAUGAUUUGCAUGAUUUUAUAUUAUUCUUUGCAUUGUGUAUAUCCAACUGUCAUUGAGGCUUGCACCAUGGAGCUUUGAAAUGCUACCCAGUAAUUAUGCAUUCAAUGACUAAUUAAUGAGCACCUGCUCUUGACCUAGGCUCCAUGCAGGGUCUCAAAGGUAUGGUCAUGAGCAAAACCAGGUAAUGUCCCUUCUCUCAUCUGUGAUUAGGAAAUGCAGUUAACAGUUGUACUUUUUUUUUUUUUUUUAAGAUUUUAUUUAUUUGAGAGGUAGAGUUACAGACAGAGGGAGAGAAAGAGAGAAAGGUCUUCCUUCUGACGGUUCACUCCCCAAAUGGCUGCAACGGCUGCAGCUGUGCCUGUCUGAAGCAAGGAGCCAACUGCUUCUUCCUGGUCUCC